CAGUUAUCGUUUAUUGAUAGUACCUUACUACUUGGAUAACCGUGGUAAUUCUAGAGCUAAUACAUGCUGAAAACCCCGACUUCGGGAGGGGUGUAUUUAUUAGAUAAAAAACCAAUGCCCUUCGGGGCUCCUUGGUGAUUCAUAAUAACUUAACAGAUCGCAUGGCCUUGCGCCGGCGACGGUUCAUUCAAAUUUCUGCCCUAUCAACUUUCGAUGGUAAGGUAUUGGCUUACCAUGGUUUCAACGGGUAACGGGGAAUUAGGGUUCGAUUCCGGAGAGGGAGCCUGAGAAACGGCUACCACAUCCAAGGAAGGCAGCAGGCGCGCAAAUUACCCAAUCCCGACACGGGGAGGUAGUGACAAUAAAUACUGAUACAGGGCUCUUUUGGGUCUUGUAAUCGGAAUGAGUACAAUUUAAACCUCUUAACGAGGAACAAUUGGAGGGCAAGUCUGGUGCCAGCAGCCGCGGUAAUUCCAGCUCCAAUAGCGUAUAUUAAAGUUGUUGCAGUUAAAAAGCUCGUAGUUGAAUCUUGGGCCUGGCUGGCCGGUCCGCCUCACCGCGUGCACUGGUCCGGCCGGGCCUUUCCUUCUGGAGAGCCCCAUGCCCUUCACUGGGUGUGCGGGGGAACCAGGACUUUUACUUUGAAAAAAUUAGAGUGUUCAAAGCAGGCCUUUGCUCGAAUACGUUAGCAUGGAAUAAUAGAAUAGGACGUGCGAUCCUAUUUUGUUGGUUUCUAGGACCGCCGUAAUGAUUAAUAGGGACAGUCGGGGGCAUCAGUAUUCAAUUGUCAGAGGUGAAAUUCUUGGAUUUAUUGAAGACUAACUACUGCGAAAGCAUUUGCCAAGGAUGUUUUCAUUAAUCAGUGAACGAAAGUUAGGGGAUCGAAGACGAUCAGAUACCGUCGUAGUCUUAACCGUAAACUAUGCCGACUAGGGAUCGGGCGGUGUUCCUUUGUUGACCCGCUCGGCACCUUUCGAG
rnacentral:rRNA from 1 species